UCUUCGGCAAUGGACGAAAGUCUGACCGAGCAACGCCGCGUGAGUGAAGAAGGUUUUCGGAUCGUAAAACUCUGUUGUUAGAGAAGAACAAGGAUGAGAGUAAAAUGUUCAUCUCUUGACGGUAUCUAACCAGAAAGACACGGCUAACUACGUGCCAGCAGCCGCGGUAAUACGGAAGUGGCAAGCGUUGUCCGGAAUUAUUGGGCGUAAAGCGAGCGCAGGCGGUUCUUUAAGUCUGAUGUGAAAGCCCCCGGCUCAACCGGGGAGGGUCAUUGGAAACUGGAGAACUUGAGUGCAGAAGAGGAGAGUGGAAUUCCAUGUGUAGCGGUGAAAUGCGUAGAUAUAUGGAGGAACACCAGUGGCGAAGGCGACUCUCUGGUCUGUAACUGACGCUGAGGCUCGAAAGCGUGGGGAGCAAACAG
rnacentral:rRNA from 1 species